GUGAAUCAUCGAAUCUUUGAACGCAAAUUGCACUCCCUGGUAUUCCGGGGAGUAUGCCUGUUUGAGGGUCGUUAGAACAAAAAUCGAAGCGUCGCUCUUUUUUUUUUUAAGGGUGAUCGGGUCGGAAUUGAGCCGUUUUUCAAAUGUUAAUUCAUGUCAAAGGGGGUUGAAAUUCAACCCUCCGGUACGAUUAAAGCGUAUUUAAGAUCAAAUUUGAUUAAGAACCGGCGAUGAAAGGAACAA
rnacentral:misc_RNA from 1 species